rnacentral:rRNA from 1 species
UAGGGAAUCUUCGGCAAUGGACGAAAGUCUGACCGAGCAACGCCGCGUGCACGAUGAAGGCCUUCGGGUUGUAAAGUGCUUUUUAGAGGGAUGAGGAAGGACAGUACUUCUAGAAUAAGCCUCGGCUAACUACGUGCCAGCAGCCGCGGUAAAACGUAGGAGGCUAGCGUUAUCCGGAUUUACUGGGCGUAAAGCGCGUGUAGGCGGUUUCGUAAGUUGGAUGUGAAAGCUCCUAGCUUAACUGGGAGAGGUCGUUCAAGACUGCGAGACUUGAGAGUGGUAGAGGAAGGUGGAAUUCCGGGUGUAGUGGUGAAAUGCGUAGAUAUCCGGAGGAACACCAGUGGCGAAAGCGGCCUUCUGGACCAUUUCUGACGCUCAGACGCGAAAGCUAAGGUAGCAAACG